rnacentral:lncRNA from 1 species
UCGAUGAUCACUUGUUCAGCCAGUCGAACCCCGAACUGCUCUCUCUACAGAAACUACCAUUCCACCAAGAAUCUCGAUCAACUCUACUCGAUCUCGAUAACUGCCGAUCAUACCGACAAAUGUUAGUAACCGCUAGACAGAACUCAGUAACAUAGAUUUUCUCUCGGCAUAACUGACAGAUCUCGACAAAUUCCUCUGCAGAACUCGU